UAUUUUUUUAUAAUAUAAGAACACUAAAAUAUCAACUUUUAUUUUUUAUAAGGUAUAGCUAGAAAUUGAAUGGAGAUCAAUUAACCAGUGAAAGGUUAUGCAGGGCGCAAUGGCGGUAAGCAUGCUUAACUGAAAGACUUAAAAGUCGCACAGAUACGUAAGUAGGGCAUAGUGACCCCUCGCUAUAUAAUGGAAUAGACGGGGAUCAAUUGAUAAAAGUUACGCUAGGGAUAACAGGCUGAUAGCCGGCGAGAGUACACAUUGUCCCGGCUGUUUGGCACCUCGAUGUCGACUUAUCCUAUCCUCCGGGGGAAGAAGCUUGGAAGGGUUCGGCUGUUCGCCGAUUAAAAGGUUACAUGAGUUGGGUUUAAUACGACGUGAGUCAGUAUGGUCCCUAUCUUCUGGAGGGAUAAAUAGUAAAAAGGGGCAGACCUUCUAGUACGAAAGGAUCAAUAGGCUGUGUUUCUCUAGUGUACCAAUUGUUGAUUUCAAAUUGACGUAGUUUGUUGAAUAAAGUAAACUUACUAUUGUUGGUUAAUUGGCAUAGUUGGGUAGCCACAAACAUAAUAGAUAAGCGCUGAAUGUAUAUAAAGCAAGAAACUAUCCCCUAGAUACUAUUACGGAUUGCUCUUUGACUCUAUCUU
rnacentral:ncRNA from 1 species